rnacentral:misc_RNA from 1 species
UUCUUAAUAAUCCAUGAUUCAAUCUGCUGGUAAGCUAAAACUAGAAGGAUGUUAAGGUAAUAGUUGGUAUCAGCAUCUGAUGCAAAUAGGUCUUUUAGAUUUAUCAAAUUCUUCUCAUGAGCUUCCUCUUUGACAGACAAGAGCAACUCAGUAAGUUUGGUCUUGAUGGAUCUGCCUAUGCAACUGAAGACAAGGCUGUAGAUGAUCGCACAGUUGGCCAUAAUCCAGAGAGGUUAAGUUUGUUGAAAGGUGGUAUAGUAUACAGCAAUGCUAUAGUUACAGUUUCACCAACCUAUCUCAAGGAGACACUCUGUUCUGGAUGGCUUUCUGGUGCUUUGAUGAGAAACCGUGAUAAGUAUUCUGGCAUUUUAAAUGGGAUCGAUACUGAAAUGUGGAAUCCAGCAACAGAUAUUUAUUUGCCUGCUAAAUUUGAUGGUAACUGUUUAUGUAAUGUUGUAAAAG